UGAAUACGAGACGCUAAGGCGUCGAAGUAGUGUAUGUCAUACUUCCAAGAAAAGCUUGCACUGUCAUAGAUAAAAAACGCCUGUACCAUAACCGACACAGGUGGGUAGGUAGAGUAUACUAAGGGGCGCGAGAUAACUCUCUCUAAGGAACUCGGCAAAAUAACUCCGUAACUUCGGGAGAAGGAGUGCCUUAUUCUUAAGGUUGCAAUAACAAGAUCCAAGCAACUGUUUAUCAAAAACACAGGUCUCCGCUAAGUCGUAAGACGAUGUAUGGGGGCUGACGCCUGCCCAGUGCCAGAAGGUUAAAGAAGCUGGUUAGCAUUUGCGAAGCUAGUAACUGAAGCCCUGGUGAACGGCGGCCGUAACAAUAACGGUCCUAAGGUAGCGAAAUUCCUUGUCGGGUAAGUUCCGACCCGCACGAAAGGCGUAAUGAUUUGGAUACUGUCUCGGAGAGGGGCUCGGUGAAAUAGACUUGUCUGUGAAGAUGCGGACUACCUGCACCAGGACAGAAAGACCCUAUGAAGCUUUACUGUAACUUGAAAUUGAAAUUGGACUUUAUUCGCGCAGUAUAGGUGGGAGGCGUUGAUUAUAAUCUUGCGGGAUUAUUGGAGCCAUUAGUGAGAUACCACUCUUGUAAUGUUAGAUUUCUAACUUUGAAUCAUUAUCUGGUCAAAGAACAGUUUCAGGCGGGCAGUUUGACUGGGGCGGUCGCCUCCCAAACGGUAACGGAGGCGUACAAAGGUUUCCUCUGAACGGUUAGAAAUCGUAUCUAGAGUGUAAAGGCAUAAGGAAGCUUGACUGUGAGACCUACAAGUCGAGCAGGGACGAAAGUCGGUCUUAGUGAUCUGACGGUACUGAGUGGAAAGGCCGUCACUCAACGGAUGAAAGUUACUCUAGGAUAACAGGCUGAUCUCCCCCAAGAGUUCACAUCGACGGGGAGGUUUGGCACCUCGAUGUCGGCUCAUCGCAUCCUGGGGCGGUAGUACGUCCCAAGGGUUGGGCUGUUCGCCCAUGAAAGCGGUACGCGAGCUGGGUUCAGAACGUCGUGAGACAGUUCGGUCCAUAUCCGGUGUAGGCGUUAGAAUAUUGAGAGGAGCCUUCUUUAGUACGAGAGGACCGAGAAGGACAUACCUCUGGUGUACCAGUUAUCGUGCCAACGGUAGACGCUGGGUAGCUAUGUAUGGAGUGGAUAACCGCUGAAAGCAUCUAAGUGGGAAGCCCACCUCAAGAUAAGUAUUCUC
rnacentral:rRNA from 1 species